AAUAGAUAGAUGCCACUCAGGAGUGAUCACAUUAUUCAAUUUCAUCUUUUAAGAACUGCCUAGUUCCUCAGCUAGACUGAGAAGUGCAAUAUGUGAAGAUUGGAUUUGACUAUCUCCUGAUUGUAACAAUGAAGUCCAUCAAAGGGUGCACAUCCAGUAGUCCUCAUGUUGAAGGUCUUUUUCACAUGUAUUGAGUGGAUGAAUUUUUGAACCAAGGGAAAGAUUUUACAUUUGAACCUACUACGUUUCAUCCUAUUAUCUUCAUUUGAUCCCCUUAUCCAUGACCAUGACCUGUCACGAUGGACUAUCCAACAACCUCCAGAAAUAUUCCACUGCCUCGUCGAACUAGAAAACAAUCCAAAGACCCAGGCACUAACAGAGAGUCACAUUUUUCAAAGUUAUUCGGGAAAACUGGACUCUCUCCAGUAGGUAAGAGUCAAUAAAGGUGAUCUAAGUGAGAGCAACAACAGGGAAGAGUCGCCUAAGCUCCGCCGCUCCCUUUGUUGAAACCUUUUCUUUCUGAAAAUCAUUUUCUCUUGCCAUUGGACAACAAAAUGCAUUGUCAAGAAAUUUUAUAGCAAUAAUUAUAAAAGAUGUCCAUUUGAACCCAUUGAGGUCUUAGUGAUUUUAUAACACCCAGCAGACCUCCCUGCAGGAGAACGCUAUAUUUAUGUGUGCAAUAUAUGCGAGAAUUGAGAUCGUAAAAUUAAAUGACCACAUAGAACUGUCAUUUCUAUGAUGAGCGCCU
rnacentral:lncRNA from 1 species